CGUUAGCGGCGGACGGGUGAGUAACACGUGGGUAACCUACCUAUAAGACUGGGAUAACUUCGGGAAACCGGAGCUAAUACCGGAUAAUAUUUCGAACCGCAUGGUUCGAUAGUGAAAGAUGGUUUUGCUAUCACUUAUAGAUGGACCUGCGCCGUAUUAGCUAGUUGGUAAGGUAACGGCUUACCAAGGCGACGAUACGUAGCCGACCUGAGAGGGUGAUCGGCCACACUGGAACUGAGACACGGUCCAGACUCCUACGGGAGGCAGCAGAA
rnacentral:rRNA from 1 species